ACGGAGAGAAAUCUAUAGUCGAUAUAAUGUUAGGUUUUAUUUUCUACGUGGUGUUUUUUUUCUCCGAAAUCACACACAAGAGUGCAAUCUUCUUCUAGAACAUAGUUUGUUCACACGGUCAAUUUAAUCGGGUUUUCUCUCGCCGCGUUGGUCUUUGAAUUCUCCUUUUAGGCGGUCUCGGAUGGAUGCACGUUUUGACCAACACCGAUAAUGGACGUUCGUGAUAGCGAAUGCUUGUAUACUGUUCUAUCGACCAAUCAGAGCGACCGUAACU